rnacentral:lncRNA from 1 species
GUUCACCUUGUUACCUUGUUUGGAUACUGCUUCUCCGUGACUUAAGAAUAGUCAACAACGAAAACAGGAGCCCUCUCUCCAGCCUAGCCCAUGAUUUCUUGUUACCUCAGUUUCCCUGCCUUGUGCAGUUUCUGAAGGUUCAAAUGAACAGUGAUUAAAGCCUAAACAGACAGCCUAUGGUAUGUAAACAACGACUUUAGUGAGCAUCACUUAUUUUAAUUGGAGGUUUUUUUUAUCCCUGUUUAUUGUUUUUAUUUAUUAUUGACUAUUAGGCAUGCUGGAUGGAGUUCUAUCA